CCUACGGGUGGCAGCAGUCGAGAAUCAUUCACAAUGGGGGAAACCCUGAUGGUGCGACGCCGCGUGGGGGAAUGAAGGUCUUCGGAUUGUAAACCCCUGUCAUGUGGGAGCAAAUUAAAAAGAUAGUACCACAAGAGGAAGAGACGGCUAACUCUGUGCCAGCAGCCGCGGUACUACAGAGGUCUCAAGCGUUGUUCGGAAUCACUGGGCGUAAAGCGGGCGUAGGCUGUUUCGUAAGUCGUGUGUGAAAGGCGCGGGCUCAACCCGCGGACGGCACAUGAUACUGCGAGACUAGAGUAAUGGAGGGGGAACCGGAAUGCUCGGUGUAGCAGUGAAAUGCGUAGAUAUCGAGAGGAACACUCGUGGCGAAGGCGGGUUCCUGGACAUUAACUGACGCUGAGGCACGAAGGCCAGGGGAGCGAAAGGGAUUAGAUACCCCAGUAGUC
rnacentral:rRNA from 1 species